AUUGAACGCUGGCGGCAGGCCUAACACAUGCAAGUCGAACGGCAGCACAGAAGAGCCUGCUCUUUGGGUGGCGAGUGGCGGACGGGUGAGUAAUGUCUGGGAAACUGCCCGAUGGAGGGGGAUAACUACUGGAAACGGUAGCUAAUACCGCAUAACGUCGCAAGACCAAAGUGGGGGACCUUCGGGCCUCACACCAUCGGAUGUGCCCAGAUGGGAUUAGCUAGUAGGUGGGGUAAUGGCUCACCUAGGCGACGAUCCCUAGCUGGUCUGAGAGGAUGACCAGCCACACUGGAACUGAGACGCGGUCCAGACUCCUACGGGAGGCAGCAGUGGGGAAUAUUGCACAAUGGGCGCAAGCCUGAUGCAGCCAUGCCGCGUGUAUGAAGAAGGCCUUCGGGUUGUAAAGUACUUUCAGCGGGGAGGAAGGCGGUGAGGUUAAUAACCUUGCCGAUUGACGUUACCCGCAGAAGAAGCACCGGCUAACUCCGUGCCAGCCGCCGCAGUAA
rnacentral:rRNA from 1 species